CCUACGGGGGACUGCAGUGAGGAAUAUUGGUCAAUGGGCGGGAGCCUGAACCAGCCAAGCCGCGUGAGGGAAGAAGGUACAGCGUAUCGUAAACCUCUUUUGUCAGGGAACAAAGUCGGGGACUAGUCCCCGGAUGAGGGUACCUGAAGAAAAAGCAUCGGCUAACUCCGUGCCAGCAGCCGCGGUAAUACGGAGGAUGCGAGCGUUAUCCGGAUUUAUUGGGUUUAAAGGGUGCGCAGGCGGCCUGUUAAGUCAGCGGUAAAAGCCCGGGGCUCAACCCCGGCGAGCCGUUGAAACUGGCGGGCUGGAGUUUAGUUGCGGUAGGCGGAAUGUAUGGUGUAGCGGUGAAAUGCAUAGAGAUCAUACAGAACACCGAUUGCGAAGGCAGCUUACCAAACUACGACUGACGUUGAGGCACGAAAGCGUGGGGAGCAAACAGGAUUAGAUACCCGGGUAGUC
rnacentral:rRNA from 1 species